GGGUGCUGCCGUUCAGGACAUCAUGGCUGCGCUGGUGAACGCAAUCAAUCGCCAGUCAGACCUUAUCCUACAGCAGAACCAGCGAUUCGGGCAGCAAAGUCAAAGGCUCAAACAACAAAGCCGUCGCAUCGACGCAAUUGCUGAAUCAAGGGUAACGGCGCAAGCUCGCCCAGCUCGCCGUUCACCCACACCUGUGAGGAGCAGAACCUACUCCAGGUC
rnacentral:lncRNA from 1 species